rnacentral:rRNA from 1 species
GGUUUCCGCCCCUUAGUGCUGCAGCUAACGCAUUAAGCACUCCGCCUGGGGAGUACGGUCGCAAGACUGAAACUCAAAGGAAUUGACGGGGGCCCGCACAAGCGGUGGAGCAUGUGGUUUAAUUCGAAGCAACGCGAAGAACCUUACCAGGUCUUGACAUCCUCUGACAAUCCUAGAGAUAGGACGUCCCCUUCGGGGGCAGAGUGACAGGUGGUGCAUGGUUGUCGUCAGCUCGUGUCGUGAGAUGUUGGGUUAAGUCCCGCAACGAGCGCAACCCUUGAUCUUAGUUGCCAGCAUUCAGUUGGGCACUCUAAGGUGACUGCCGGUGACAAACCGGAGGAAGGUGGGGAUGACGU